GUUAGUCUGAACCUUCGGGGAACGAUAACGGCGUCGAGCGGCGGACGGGUGAGUAAUGCCUGGGAAAUUGCCCUGAUGUGGGGGAUAACCAUUGGAAACGAUGGCUAAUACCGCAUAAUAGCUUCGGCUCAAAGAGGGGGACCUUCGGGCCUCUCGCGUCAGGAUAUGCCCAGGUGGGAUUAGCUAGUUGGUGAGGUAAUGGCUCACCAAGGCGACGAUCCCUAGCUGGUCUGAGAGGAUGAUCAGCCACACUGGAACUGAGACACGGUCCAGACUCCUACGGGAGGCAGCAGUGGGGAAUAUUGCACAAUGGGCGCAAGCCUGAUGCAGCCAUGCCGCGUGUAUGAAGAAGGCCUUCGGGUUGUAAAGUACUUUCAGCAGUGAGGAAGGUGGAUGUGUUAAUAGCGCAUUCAUUUGACGUUAGCUGCAGAAGAAGCACCGGCUAACUCCGUGCCAGCAGCCGCGGUAAUACGGAGGGUGCGAGCGUUAAUCGGAAUUACUGGGCGUAAAGCGCAUGCAGGUGGUUUGUUAAGUCAGAUGUGAAAGCCCGGGGCUCAACCUCGGAAUAGCAUUUGAAACUGGCAGACUAGAGUACUGUAGAGGGGGGUAGAAUUUCAGGUGUAGCGGUGAAAUGCGUAGAGAUCUGAAG
rnacentral:rRNA from 1 species